rnacentral:snoRNA from 1 species
AUAUUAUGGUUUGGAAAUUGUGUCAACUUUUUCUUGAAUCUCUCCUAAGUUUCAUGUAAGCCUCAUUUGAAAACUGUCUAAAAUUAUUGAUCUUAUAUCUUAAUUU